GCCAACAUAGCUCAAUUGGUAGAGCAACUGAUUUGUAAUCAGUAAGUUGAAGGUUCAAUUCCUUUUGUUGGCA
rnacentral:tRNA from 1 species